AAGUGUUGCCUUAAGCUGCCAGACUCCCCAAGACACGGUUUAGGUGUUGAAGGGUUAACAGGGGUGUGUAAAUUUGCAUGGACGCGAUAUAUAGACAUGCUUUGAGCGAGCGGUGCUAGCGAAUAUGUCUCCAUUGGAGACGGAGAACAUGUUCAGUUUCCUUCUCUCUCUACCCGUCUUCACCGCCUGACAGCACGAGGCGCGAAAGCUCGCCUGCCUUGUGAUGGCGCGUAUUAGCGUUGUGCCGCAGCACUGCUUUACAGGCUCGACGAUGUGAGCACGCUCUGUGCCCUUAAAUUGCUCAGAAGCCAAUGCCGCUUGCUCUUGCCUGGAUCCUGUACCAUGACGUACUGCUUUGUCGUUGAUCAUCAUAUUUCGCUCUACUCUGCAGGUUCCACGUGAAGAGGUACUAGGUUCUCAACGAGGGCGAUCAGGAUGUUAAGGGUUCACGGCUCUUGCCGUAACUGGUGCGUAUAGUUGAUACCGCGUUUCUUAUUGUAUGAACUCCCUAGUGUGGAGGGCAAAUGGUAAAUGGCGAUCAUAACAGUUAACGGCUCAACAUUGGCCGGUGUUCAUUCAGUUGCCAGUAUGAAAGUUCGUUUGGUUCGCUUGUUGCGCAUCAUAUCUGUGGUCGAGUUUCUCGGUUUUCGUGGAAGAAAGCUUACGUGCAUGCACCUUUUUGAAAAUCC
rnacentral:lncRNA from 1 species